UUUCUCAAUGGGGGAAACCCUGAAGGAGCGACGCCGCGUGGAGGAUGAAGGUCUUCGGGUUGUAAACUCCUGUCAUUUGAGAACAAGGUGCGUACGUUAACUGCGUGCGCAUUGAUAGUAUCAGAAGAGGAAGAGACGGCUAACUCUGUGCCAGCAGCCGCGGUAAUACAGAGGUCUCAAGCGUUGUUCGGAUUCAUUGGGCGUAAAGGGUGCGUAGGUGGCGUCGUAAGUCAGGUGUGAAAUCUCGGAGCUUAACUCCGAAACUGCAUUUGAUACUGCGGUGCUUGAGGACUGGAGAGGAGACUGGAAUUUACGGUGUAGCAGUGAAAUGCGUAGAGAUCGUAAGGAAGACCAGUGGCGAAGGCGGGUCUCUGGACAGUUCCUGACACUGAGGCACGAAGGCCAGGGGAGCAAACGGGAUUAGAUACCCCGGUAGUCCUGGCAGUAAACGGUGCACGUUUGGUGUGGGAGGAUUCGACCCCUUCUGCGCCGGAGCUAACGCGUUAAACGUGCCGCCUGGGGAGUACGGUCGCAAGAUUAAAACUCAAAGAAAUUGACGGGGGCCCGCACAAGCGGUGGAGUAUGUGGCUUAAUUCGAUGCAACGCGAAGAACCUUACCUGGCCUUGACAUGCAUCUCUAAACCGGUGAAAGCCGGCGAGUCUCGAAAGAGACAAUUUGCACAGGUGCUGCAUGGCUGUCGUCAGCUCGUGUCGUGAGAUGUUGGGUUAAGUCCCGCAACGAGCGCAACCCCUGUGAACUGUUGCCACCGACCCGCGAGGGUCGAGCACUCUGUUCAGACUGCCCUGUGAAACGGGGAGGAAGGUGGGGAUGACGUCAAGUCAGUAUGGCCCUUACGGCCAGGGCUGCACACGUACUACAAUGCCCAGUACAGAACGAUCCGAGACCGCGAGGUGGAGGAAAUCUAUCAAAAACUGGGCCCAGUUCGGAUUGGAGUCUGCAACUCGACUCCAUGAAGCCGGAAUCGCU
rnacentral:rRNA from 1 species